rfam:Gossypium hirsutum cultivar TM-1 chromosome 9, whole genome shotgun sequence
AUUUCUUGAUAAGGGCAUUUUUCUAAUAAUUCUUUGAAUCUUUCUCACGCCUCAUAAAAGGAUUCAUCAUUCAUUUGUUGGAAGGUAGUGAUCUCAUUUCACCACUU